GGUUGGAUCAUUAAAAAAUCUUUUGAAGAUUAGUUGGAAAUUUUCUUAUUUUGUUUGGUCUCCUUUUUUUUCUUUUUGAUUUCUAAGGUUUUGGCGGAUGAUUCCCUGAUACUUUUUUGAUCGAAGAAGGGGGGAGGGGGGUCAUACGAAUGAGGGAAAUUCCAGCUUUUCAACAAAUUUGUGAACUUUAUUAUCGUCUCUUGGUGGGUUUUAAGCGAAGCGUUGUAAUCUCCGGUGAUGAUUGUAUUUAAAACCUUUUUAAGGGAUAAGUAUAUUCUCAGAUCCAUGUUUAAACGACUGUUUUUACAUAAAAGAGUUACCAUUCCAGGGACCCCCCGUGGUCCCCGCAACCCACCAGCUUAUUACUUUGAACUUUUAUAUCGUUUUAAAAUUAGUCUUGAAUUUCUUAAUUAUUGUUAAUAAUUACUAAAACAACUUUUGACAACGGAUCUCUAGGCUCUCGCAACGAUGAAGAACGCAGCGAAAUGCGAUAAGUAAUGUGAAUUGCAGAAUUCCGUGAAUCAUCAAAUCUUUGAACGCACAUUGCGCUCUUUGGUAUUCCAUUGAGCAUAUCUGUUUGAGAAUCAGUUUAAUUAUCAAAAACUUUACUUGUUCAGUUUAAUUACAGUUCCUUGAGUUUAGUUUUUGGAUUUGGGACGUUACUAGUCUCUUUAGAUAGAGAUUGGUUGACCUUAAAAACUUUUCUUUUAUCAGUUUGAGAAGAUUAUUUCUCGUCUGAAGUUUUGAACUCGAAAGCAUGACCAAUGGACGCAAGUUCUAAUCGAUUGCUGAUAACGGUUUUUAAUGAAUGGUGGAUUGGUCUUUUUAAACCAAUUUUUUUCUUGUUCAUGUUUUUUUUUGGAUGGGGGAGUUAUUUUUUUGACAGUUUUGAGCUUGAACAUAUCAAGUUUUUUGGAUUGUUUUAGAGUGACUUUUUACUUCUUUUUUAAACAACGAAUAAAAAAAUUUUGGAAUGGUGAAUGAUGAAAUCAUUUUUUAACACGAGGGGAUCCUUUUUUACGAGGAAACCUUUAAGACUUGAUCUCAAAUCAGAUAAGACUACCCGCUGAACUUAAGCAUAUCAAUAAGCGGAGGAAAAGAAACUAACAAGGAUUCCCCUAGUAACGGCGAGUGAAGCGGGAACAGCUCAAAUUUUAAAUCUCCUUGGGUUUACUCAAGGCGAAUUGUAGUUUAAAGAAGUAUUUUUCGAAGAUACCCGACGUAAAAGUUCCUUGGGAUAGGGCAUCAUAGAAGGUGAGAAUCCUGUGUGAUGUUGGAUUCAAAUCUUCAAUGUGAUAUACUUUCAAAGAGUCGGAUUGUUUGGGAAUGCAGUCCAAAAUGGGUGGUAAAUACCAUCUAAAGCUAAAUAUUGGCGAGAGACCGAUAGCGAACAAGUACCGUGAGGGAAAGAUGAAAAGAACUUUGAAAAGAGAGUUAAAAGUACGUGAAAUUGUCAAAAGGGAAACACUUGAAACCAGUUUUGUUUGUUGGGAUCUCAACCACUCUAACGAGUUGGCCUACGUUCCCAACUACAGGUCAAUAUCAGUUUGACUUGGAUUAUAAUGCUUGAGGAAGGUAGCUCCCCUUCGGGGGGUGUUAUAGCCUCAAGUGAUAAUCUGAGUUGGAUUGAGGAUCGCAGUGCAGUCUUGGGCGUCCUAUCGCUAGUUGAAACUAAUAGAUGGACAACUUGUUGAUCAUUCUUUUGGUGUAGACUAAUCGGUGGGGUCCGCCACAACUUGUGCUUGGGAUAUUGGCAUAAUGGUUUUAAAUGACCCGUCUUGAAACACGGACCAAGGAGUCUAACACAUAUGCGAGUAUUUGGGUGUGAAAACCCGAUAUGCGUAAUGAAAGUAUUAUGGUGUGAUCUUCUUUUUCGGAGGAAGUGCAACAUCGACCGGUCUGGAUAUUUUUAAUUGAUGGAUCUGAGUAAGAGCAUAUUUGUUAGGACCCGAAAGAUGGUGAACUAUGCCUGAAUAGGGUGAAGCCAGAGGAAACUCUGGUGGAAGCUCGUAGCGAUUCUGACGUGCAAAUCGAUCGUCGAAUUUGGGUAUAGGGGCGAAAGACUAAUCGAACCGUCUGGUAGCUGGUUCCCUC
rnacentral:misc_RNA from 1 species